rnacentral:rRNA from 1 species
GGACUACAGGGGUAUCUAAUCCUGUUUGCUCCCCACGCUUUCGCGCCUCAGCGUCAGUAUCGGGCCAGUGAGUCGCCUUCGCCACUGGUGUUCUUCCGAAUAUCUACGAAUUUCACCUCUACACUCGGAGUUCCACUCACCUCUCCCGAACUCAAGAUAUCCAGUAUUAAAGGCUAUUCCAGGGUUGAGCCCUGGGCUUUCACCUCUAACUUAAAUAUCCGCCUACGCGCCCUUUACGCCCAGUAAUUCCGAGCAACGCUAGCCCCCUUCGUAUUACCGCGGCUGCUGGCAC